rnacentral:rRNA from 1 species
GAUGAACGCUGGCGGCGUGCCUAAUACAUGCAAGUCGAGCGAACAGACGAGGAGCUUGCUCCUUCGACGUUAGCGGCGGACGGGUGAGUAACACGUAGGUAACCUACCUAUAAUACUGGGAUAACUUCGGGAAACCGGAGCUAAUACCGGAUAAUAUUCCGAACCGCAUGGUUCGAUAGUGAAAGAUGGCUUUUCUGUCACUUAUAGAUGGACCUGCGCCGUAUUAGCUAGUUGGUAAGGUAACGGCUUACCAAGGCAACGAUACGUAGCCGACCUGAGAGGGUGAUCGGCCACACGGGAACUGAGACACGGUCCAGAGUCCUACGGGAGGCAGCAGUAGGGAAUCUGCCGCAAUGGGCGAAAGCCUGACGGAGCAACGCCGCGUGAGUGAUGAAGGUCUUCGGAUCGUAAAACUCUGUUAUUAGGGAAGAACAAACGUGUAAGUAACUGUGCACGUCUUGACGGUACCUAAUCAGAAAGCCACGGCUAACUACGUG